AAAACAGACCAAGAAGGAACAGAUCAGACUCGUAAUGAUGAGAUCACUUACGCUGAUCCGACUUUCUACAAACAAAAAGCACAGAAACCGGGAGUCAAACAGGAGGAUGAGGUGGUGUAUGCAGACGUUGUCACGA